GACGAACGCUGGCGGCGUGCUUAACACAUGCAAGUCGAACGGAAAGGCCCCUUUGGGGGUACUCGAGUGGCGAACGGGUGCGUAACACGUGAGUAACCUGCCCCUGACUUUGGGAUAACUUCAGGAAAUUGGGGCUAAUACCGGUUAGGCAUCCUUGCUGCAUGGUGGGGGUUGGAAAGCUUCGGCGGUAUUGGAUGGACUCGCGGCUUAUCGGCUUGUUGGUGGGGUAGUUGCUUACCAAGGCUUUGACGGGUAGCCGGCCUGAGAGGGCGACCGGCCACAUUGGGACUGAGAGACGGCCCAGACUCCUACGGGAGGCAGCAGUGGGGAAUAUUGCACAAUGGGCGGAAGCGUGAGGCAGCAACGCCGCGUGCGGGAUGACGGGCUUCGGGUUGAAAACCGCGUUCAGCAGGGGCGAAGCUUGUGGUGACGGUACCUGCAGAAGAAGCACCGGCUAACUACGUG
rnacentral:rRNA from 1 species